CUUUGCUGCUUUAAAGUGAGCCACGGAGGAGGGAAGGAAGGGGAACCAUGGCUCUCAUCCGUCCUUCCUCCGUGGCUCACUUUAAAGCAGCAAA